rnacentral:rRNA from 1 species
UACGUAGGGUGCGAGCGUUAAUCGGAAUUACUGGGCGUAAAGCGUGCGUAGGCGGUUCGCUGUGUCCGAUGUGAAAGCCCCGGGCUUAACCUGGGAAUGGCAUUGGAAACUGGCGGGCUUGAGUGCGGCAGAGGGGGUGGAAUUCCGCGGUGUAGCAGUGAAAUGCGUAGAGAUGCGGAGGAACACCGAUGGCGGAAGGCAGCCCCCUGGGUCGACACUGACGCUCAGGCACGAAAGCGUGGGGAGCAAACAGG